rnacentral:rRNA from 1 species
UACGGAGGGUGCAAGCGUUGCUCGGAAUUAUUGGGCGUAAAGGGCAAGUAGGUGGUCUCAUUUGUCUGGGGUGAAAUCCUUGGGCUUAACUCAAGAAGUGCCCCAGAAACGGUGAGACUAGAGUCCUAGAGAGGGUCGUGGAAUACCCGGUGUAGCGGUGAAAUGCGUAGAGAUCGGGUGGAACACCAGAGGCGAAGGCGGCGACCUGGAUAGGUACUGACACUCAACUGCGAAAGCGUGGGGAGCAAACAGG